UUUAGAGUUUUGAUCCCUGGCUCAGGACGAACGCUGGCGGCGUGCCUAAUACAUGCAAGUCGAGCGGAUUGAUGGGAGCUUGCUCCCAUCAGUCAGCGGCGGACGGGUGAGUAACACGUGGGUAACCUGCCUGUAAGACUGGGAUAACUCCGGGAAACCGGGGCUAAUACCGGAUAACUCAUUUCCUCGCAUGAGGAAAUGUUGAAAGGUGGCUUUUAGCUAUCACUUACAGAUGGACCCGCGGCGCAUUAGCUAGUUGGUGAGGUAAUGGCUCACCAAGGCGACGAUGCGUAGCCGACCUGAGAGGGUGAUCGGCCACACUGGGACUGAGACACGGCCCAGACUCCUACGGGAGGCAGCAGUAGGGAAUCUUCCGCAAUGGACGAAAGUCUGACGGAGCAACGCCGCGUGAGUGAUGAAGGUUUUCGGAUCGUAAAGCUCUGUUGUUAGGGAAGAACAAGUACCGUUCGAAUAGGGCGGUACCUUGACGGACCUAACCAGAAAGCCACGCAA
rnacentral:rRNA from 1 species